AAGCAGAGGGGGCUUAGUGGUGGGGUGACUGCGUACCUUUUGUAUAAUGGGUCAGCGACUUAUAUUCUGUAGCAAGGUUAACCGAAUAGGGGAGCCGGAGGGAAACCGAGUCUUAACCGGGCGUUAAGUUGCAGGGUAUAGACCCGAAACCCGGUGAUCUAGCCAUGGGCAGGUUGAAGGUUGGGUAACACUAACUGGAGGACCGAACCGACUAAUGUUGAAAAAUUAGCGGAUGACCUGUGGCUGGGGGUGAAAGGCCAAUCAAACCGGGAGAUAGCUGGUUCUCCCCGAAAGCUAUUUAGGUAGCGCCUCGUGAAUUCAUCUCCGGGGGUAGAGCACUGUUUCGGCUAGGGGGUCAUCCCGACUUACCAACCCGAUGCAAACUGCGAAUACCGGAGAAUGUUAUCACGGGAGACACACGGCGGGUGCUAACGUCCGUCGUGAAGAGGGAAACAACCCAGACCGCCAGCUAAGGUCCCAAAGUCAUGGUUAAGUGGGAAACGAUGUGGGAAGGCCCAGACAGCCAGGAUGUUGGCUUAGAAGCAGCCAUCAUUUAAAGAAAGCGUAAUAGCUCACUGGUCGAGUCGGCCUGCGCGGAAGAUGUAACGGGGCUAAACCAUGCACCGAAGCUGCGGCAGCGACACUAUGUGUUGUUGGGUAGGGGAGCGUUCUGUAAGCCUGCGAAGGUGUCUCGUGAGGGAUGCUGGAGGUAUCAGAAGUGCGAAUGCUGACAUAAGUAACGAUAAUGCGGGUGAAAAACCCGCACGCCGGAAGACCAAGGGUUCCUGUCCAACGUUAAUCGGGGCAGGGUGAGUCGACCCCUAAGGCGAGGCCGAAAGGCGUAGUCGAUGGGAAACAG
rnacentral:rRNA from 1 species